GACCUCGAAUCAGGUAGAAAAACCCGCUAAACUUAAGCAUAUCAAAA
rnacentral:rRNA from 1 species